UGAUUACAGCCCAGGGGACAGAAUUCUUCUAUUUAUCCACAGAAUGGGUGCAGCACAAACAACAGUUCUACGCAUUGUCCCAUGUAGUUGCCUUAAGCCUGUAGCGAAGAGUAGUUCAUUCCUUUGGCGUAAUCAAUCUUGCCUUCU
rnacentral:sRNA from 1 species